rnacentral:rRNA from 1 species
UACAGAGGGGGCAAGCGUUAUUCGGAAUUAUUGGGCGUAAAGGGCGCGUAGGCGGCUUGGCAAGUGGAAGGUGAAAUCCCUCGGCUUAACCGAGGAACUGCCCUCCAAACUGCUUCGCUUGAGACCGGGAGAGGUGAGUGGAAUUCCCAGUGUAGCGGUGAAAUGCGUAGAUAUUGGGAGGAACACCAGUGGCGAAGGCGGUUCUCUGGGACGGUACUGACGCUGAGACGCGAAAGCGUGGGGAGCGAACAGG